rnacentral:lncRNA from 1 species
AUGUUCAAUCCAGAUCAGAGAGAAGGAACGACCCCAGAAGCAAACUGUCGAGCCCCUGGGCCUCUCUCCUCUUGCAUAACAAGUUCCACACCCCUGUCCAGCCCAACCCCCACCCUUGAAGGCCAUCUCUGCAGACUUCCUGAUUCCAGUGGUGCCACAUGUGACUUGACCAAGGCACCCUCCGCUGGCAGCCUCGGGCCCCAAGGGUCUGCAUCAGCUGGGCUGAGUGCCUUCAUCGCUCGAAGCUUCUCCAUCAGCGAGGGGCGCAGGAACACUGUUUCGGGGCUGCUACCUCAUUGUCUGAGGAGGAGCGGCUUGACUGGAGGUAUAUCCAAUCUCUGUAUUACCAUGCUCUGUUAUCAUGGCGUCCCACCGCAUCUUCCUUGGGUUUAAUGAACAGCACCAGAGUGACUCCUUCACUUCCCAGGACCAUCUCAGGAAUUUUUAAAUCGGAGCAUGAGGCUGAUGGGAAGUGGCUCUCCCGACCAGCAGGAACAUCUAUGGGGCAGCUGUGACGUGACUGAGGGUAGUGUUUGCUGAUAGGCCCUGCUAAUAAUCCAGUGAGAUGCUGGCAUUCUUGGCAGGGCCCAGAAAGAGCAGCAACAGACCAACAGCUCUCCUGGCCGCUAAGGCCCCUGUAAGAUUCCUGAUCCUUGCUGUUCCUGAGCAGAGGAGAUUGGGAAGUUCUGUGAGCCCAGCUGGGCCAUCCUACCUCCUGCAGAUGGGAGUUUUUGUCAAGAAACCUUGGUCACUAGCUGGUUUACAUAUAUCCCGUAGAAAGGUUUAAUCCGCCUUUGAAGCUACUCGCUGGAGCAGAGCUUGAUAGUAGAGCCAGGAGAAAAGGAAUUCCUGGGGAGAUGGUCCUUUGCACCAGCACUGCCUCAUCGCAAGGGGAGGGACUGAAGCUCUUCCAGCCUGUGAGUCUCUCCUGAUUUUGGGGUGGCCAGGGAAGGGUAGGAAGAGGCCUUGGGGAGGGGAAGAGGACACUUCAUGAUACUUUUGAUUCUAGAAUUAUAAAACAAACUCUCUGCUCUUUACCAUAAUGCAUUUCUUAUUCUUUUAAUUUCUUGGAUUUUGCUUAAGCCAAGGACCCAGGGAAUCCUCAUGGAUCCCAGUGAAGAGACUAAUUGAUGAUUUUCCCCCAACAGAGUCCAGUCCUGGCGGCGUGGGCCACAGAGUCAGUGGACCUCCGCCUGCUGGUCUGCCGCCUCCUCCGGGCUGCACCUCUCACUCUUUGACCCUUUAGGGCAGGUGCUUGUCCUGAUAGAAGAAACCCCUGGAGCCCCAUCUGUGCUUGCUGGGGAAACCCUGAGAAAAAUGCGCUUUCUCAAAGAAAAGCACUCACUGCAGAAAUGUAGGGCCCAGCCUGCAGGGCACUUCGUGAGAGCUGGAACACUGGACCGCGCGGCUACACGUUGUUGGACUUUCUUCAAGGGACAGUCGUUCUACAUUGGCUCAACAAGUGUGUUACUUACCCAGUUGCCUAGGAGUGCAGGCCAUCUGUGCAAUGGCAAAAUGCAUUCUUUUUAGAAUCGUUGCAGAAUAAGGGGCUUUAACGUGGUUGCUCAUAGUCCUGGUGAUUAUUCUCCAGAAAUUUUGCGAAUAAGUAUAUUUCUUGAUUCCUGGAAUAGGUGCUGUCUAGCAGGCCUGGAAAUAGAGCAAAUGUUGGUAAAGCAGAUGAUAUUUUCCAGUUGACUUUUAUGAUAACCAGAGCUCUGUUGCCAUGGAAAAAAUCCAUCAGUACUCUGAGUUGAAAACAUUUGGGAAGAAGGCUGAUGGUUAUUUCCAGUUCCAUAGAGAGCAACAUUCAUCCAUUCCACAGAUACUCACGGAAAGUCUGCCAUGUGCCACAGUGUCCUAGGAGCAAGGGAUCCAGCAGUGAGCAAAGCAGACACACAUCUCUCCUCUCACGGAGCACACGGCCUGGGAGGGGGAGCCAGGUAGUUAUAAAAAAUAGGUAAACUGCAGAGUCUGUCAAAGGGUGAUAAAUGCUGUGGGGGAACUGAAGCCAGGAAGAAAGAGUGGAGGUGGAGGUGGGGAUAGACAGGCACAGCUUCUCUAAGCAGGUGACUUUCAAACAGGCCCUGAGGAAGAGCGGAGGCAUCCACGUGGAUACUGGGGAUGAAUUCCCAGGAAGAGAUAGCAGCCAGUGCAAAGGCUCUGAGAUAAAAGUCUGGGGCUGUCAAGAAACAAUCAAAAGCCCAGUGGGCAGGACUAGGGUGAGCAGAGGGGAGAGCAGUGGGACAGAGGUCAGAGGCGGCUGGACCCCAGGCUCUGCAGGCCUCUCGGGGCCGGCCACCAUCUGCCUUGCCUUCCUUCCUCAAGGUAUCUCUGCUGCUGGCCCUUCCCAUGCACAAACAUCCAUAGCCCACCUUCCUGGAGGCCCAGCUGUAGGGCCUUCUCUGGCGUCUCUGGCCACAGCCAUUGCUGACGCCCCUCGCUGCUACCGAGAGCGCUCCUUACUCCCUGGGUCUUCCAGUGCCGCCAUGUUGAGUCGCAUCAUUUCCUGAGUGUCUUCACUUCCUGUUCAGAUUCUUGCUGAGUCUGGGUUAACCAUGCGGGGCCUUUUCCUGUAUUUCCUACAACAGUUGGUGCAGCGUCAGGCAUCAGCUAAUGCAAGAAUACCUGUGACAUGCAAACUCCAACUUGCCAUUUCGAGCUUUAAGAACGUUAGGAGCUCCUUUUCCUUUUGCCUGGGAGAUAGAAUGCUGUCCAGGGAUUGUUUAGUCUUGUCUACUAAAAUAAAAUACUCUUAUUUUAAGUAUAACGAUCUAAU